AAAUCCUUAAACCUCUUAUUCUUUAUUGGGAAUACAUUGAGUACAAUGUGUAGUUUAAGUGUGGAGGACUACAUAGAAUUUUCUUUUCUUUAUUUUGUGUUUUCUACUUGAUAGUUUUGUGUUUUCUUGUUUGGUGCAUGGUGCUUAAGCAUGGUAUGUGUGAGUAAUUGGUUGAUUUGGUAUGAUAUAUUGUAAUUGACAUAUUCAAAACAUAUAAAUUUUGCAUGAUGGUAGACUUUUUUUUUUUUGAGUUUAGAUUAGUUAGUUUAAUUAAUUAACUUAUGCAAUCGAGUAGAGGUGGUUGCUACAUGUCGAAAUAUCUAAAUUUGUGUCAU
rnacentral:lncRNA from 1 species